GAUGAACGCUGGCGGCGUGCCUAAUACAUGCAAGUCGAGCGAACAGACGAGGAGCUUGCUCCUCUGACGUUAGCGGCGGACGGGUGAGUAACACGUGGAUAACCUACCUAUAAGACUGGGAUAACUUCGGGAAACCGGAGCUAAUACCGGAUAAUAUAUUGAACCGCAUGGUUCAAUAGUGAAAGACGGUUUUGCUGUCACUUAUAGAUGGAUCCGCGCCGCAUUAGCUAGUUGGUAAGGUAACGGCUUACCAAGGCAACGAUGCGUAGCCGACCUGAGAGGGUGAUCGGCCACACUGGAACUGGGCCACGGUCCAGACUCCUACGGGAGGCAGCAGUAGGGAAUCUUCCGCAAUGGGCGAAAGCCUGACGGAGCAACGCCGCGUGAGUGAUGACGGUCUUCGGAUCGUAAAACUCUGUUAUUAGGGAAGAACAAAUGUGUAAGUAACUAUGCACGUCUUGACGGUACCUAAUCAGAAAGCCACGGCUAACUACGUG
rnacentral:rRNA from 1 species